AUUGCGACAUAUUCUGCUUCUUUUCCCAGAGCUGUCAAAUCUCUGCUAUAUCAGUACUGGCUAAAUUAGGUGUUAAAUGAUUGAGCUUCAAGAUGGGCAAAUCAUGACUUCGGACUACAUUCCUCCUUGCCUGGCGGCUGGGAAAUUCCGUAAGCUCUGUGUGUUUCUAUCAGACUGCUCUUGAAGGCGGUGGCUCUCUGUGGAUCUCCGCAGAGCGCCAACGUUGGCUUAAAAAACCCCAAAGCUAGAUUAUCCAAAAGGUCCGCGCUGCUGCUAAGACUUCAGAUGAAAGACGCUCCGGGGACUCCGAGUCAACAGCUGUUGCAGCAUGAGCGAUACGCUUGGUUCUCCUAACUAGCACCUUCCCCUCUCCCCUGACUCAGCUGGUAGCCCCUCCUCCCCGCACCUGCCCAAAGGUCACUGGACAGGCAUUUGUCUGGCCUUCCCUUUUACUGCUGGCUGGGAAGGAGGAGCAUCAGACCACAGAUCCUGGAAGGCACUUCUCUCCCUGACUGCUGCUCACACUGCCGUGAGAACCUGCUUAUAUCCAGGACCAAGGAGGCAAUGCCAGGAAGCUGGUGAA
rnacentral:lncRNA from 1 species